GGGAAAGUGACUCAGGGGUAGAGUGCUUGCCUUGCAUGCAUGAGGCCCUGGGUUCAAUUCCUCAGCACCA
rnacentral:tRNA from 1 species